GGAAUUUUCCGCAAUGGGCGAAAGCCUGACGGAGCAAUGCCGCGUGGAGGAUGAAGGCCUGUGGGUCGUAAACUCCUUUUCUCAUAGAAGAAAACUGACGGUAUAUGAGGAAUAAGCAUCGGCUAACUCCGUGCCAGCAGCCGCGGUAAUACGGAGGAUGCAAGCGUUAUCCGGAAUGAUUGGGCGUAAAGCGUCUGUAGGUGGCUUUUUAAGUCUUCUGUCAAAGAUCAAGGCUUAACCUUGGGAAGGCAGUGGAAACUAAAAAGCUAGAGUUGGGUAGAGGCAGAGGGAAUUCCCGGUGUAGCGGUGAAAUGCGUAGAUAUCGGGAAGAACACCAAAGGCGAAAGCACUCUGCUGGGCCUAAACUGACACUCAGAGACGAAAGCUAGGGGAGCAAAUGGGAUUAGAUACCCCUGUAGUC
rnacentral:rRNA from 1 species